GGUCCUGCAGGAACAUUCUCUUGUCCUCUCGAUGCCAUUUUCCAUCCAUCCACCAGAUAGCCUCAGACUUUCCUUCACUUCCCCAUCACCUGACUGCCCCUCCUGUGUUCCCACUUUCCUCUGGAGUUGCCUGCACAUUCACUUUUCCCUGCUUCUCUUGUGGACAGCUUUAGUUUGGACUGGUUGGAUUUAGGCCUACUCAUCCAAUCUGAGCUUUUUUUUUUUUAUCCGUUGCCCCGUUUACAUUCGGGUCUUUAAUUCCCUCGUUUCCCUGCGCACACCCGCCGUGACACACAACAUAAUUGGGCUUGUGCUAUUUAAAAAAGCUCGGCACUUCUUCAUGUCAGACUGAUGACACCAGACACACAAUGGCACUCUUACAUUUAACGGUGUAUUUACUAUUGUCAUGCCUCGACAGUUUGUCAGAGGCCAACUCAACGCAACCGAGGAUGACAAUCACAGAGAAAGAGACUUCAAUAAAAAGGAUACCUUUACCUGGACACCAUGCACCUGUCGGGAUUGUUCUGGAAAGACAGCCAGACUCUGUCAUAGCUGCUGGACAAACACACCUGUAUGCAUUCCACUUUCAAAAUCCUCAGAAGACUCCUGAGGAAAUAAGCGUAUUGUGGACAGAAUGCAUCGACAAAGGGGCUCCCCAAAGAGUGAAAGCGAAUUGCAACUAUAACAUCACUGUGGUCCACAAGAAGUUAGAGGACAACCAGGUCUUUCUGUGUGGAACCAACGGCCAAGAAACAGUCUGCUGUGACAUGGAUUUAGCAGAGCAGUCACCCAUGUGCAUUCCCUCUGAAAAAACGGACAACAUAAAAAAAAACAUAAAUGAAUUUGUCAUAAAGGAAGGCGAACCGUCUGCCCUUGUGGAAUCAGGAGAUAGUGAUCUCUUCAUUACAUACUCUGGAUCUCAAGAUUUAGUUGGCAUCUACAAGUUUGGGAAAAACCGAAUUGCACCGACAAGACAAGAUAAAGAGCAGCACUAUGUGGGUUUGGUGCCCAUAAGACGGGGAGACAACUCCAUACAGAGCAAAGUGUAUGCCUUCUAUAAGGAGGAAAACAGAGACACAGGCUUUAACAGUAAAAUGUGGCUCCCUUUUGUGACCCGGGUUUGCAUGGAAGAUCGUGGUGGUAUCAAGAACCAUUUGCGGUACAGCUGGACGUCCCAGAUGAAUGCCAGGCUCUUCUGCGGAGACCCUGACAGCAGACAACAUUUCUCUGAGCUGGUGGAUGUGGCUACUGUACAUGCAGACCAAUGGCAAAAUACCAGGGUUUAUGCACUCUUCAGAAAUGAAUGGGGUAUGAGUGCUGUGUGUGUCUACACGAUACAAGAUAUUGAAAACAUCUUCACAACCUCCACAUUUAAAGGCAAAGACAAUCAGCCCGGGAGGCCUAGACAGUGUGUUGCAGACAGCACAAAGAUUCCUUUAGACGCUCUGAAGAUGAUCAUUGAGAAUUCUGAGAUGGAGGAAUGGGUCCGGCCCGUUAACAACUCUGGCCCACUUCUAUUUAAUCACCACAGUUACACUCACAUCUACGUUGACAGUUCCCAGAACAAUCACCCCACCGUCCUGUUCCUGUCUCUAAAUAAUGGAGGAAUUCACAAGGUGAUGGAGAGUAAAAGUCAGACCUUUGUCAUUGCUGAGUACCGACCUUUCAACCACGGAGCCCAAGUCCUCCACAUGGUCCUGCACGCUUCCUCUAGGAAGCUGUAUGUGAACUCGAGAAGUGAACUGGUCCAACUGGAUGUGGCAAACUGUGCCCAGUAUGGAAACAGCUGUGGGGAUUGUGUCUUGGCCAGAGAUCCCUACUGUGGCUGGAACGGCACCCACUGCACCCCUGGUGGCGAACUGCAGGAUGUGACCCAAGGGGACUAUUCCAUUUGUGUGUCUACAUCAAAGCUCCAGCAACCUGGAAAAGCAUUUAGAUAUUCCACUGACACACAUGCAGACGAGGCCAAGGGCAGCAUCACACUUCCCCCUGAGUCCAAGUAUUUCCUCCAGUGCCCGGUGUCGUCCCAUCAUGCCCAAUAUACCUGGCGUCACCAUGAAAGCAACACAUCCUGCAGUUCGAUGAAGCAACAGUGCCUUCUUCUGAUCGAUAGCAUGGGCGCCGAGCAGGUGGGAACUUACACAUGUGUUUCGGAGGAGAAGGGCUACAGCAGAGUCCUGGCCCAGUACCAACUACGGCUGGGUAGCACGGCGGUGGGCCGGUCAUCAAGCCCACUGGUAUGGCUCUGUCUAAUGGCUGUUCUGAUCCAGAGUGUGGCCGAUUAGUCCCGAGGAAAUACAAUGAUACAAAAACAAUUGCAAUAAACAACACUUCCUACUUCCAAGUGCCUAUAUUCAUACAAUAGCGCGGGCUGUAACAUUAUAACUAAAAUGAAAAUCUUUUAUUUUUUUAUUUUUUCUCUUUUUCUUAACUAACAAAAUAAUUUUUGCUGCACUUUUGGCAUCUAUGCAUCAGCGUCAUUUUCAAGUGCAGUAGAAGUUAAUGAAAAACAGAUGUCUUCAUUUUGCCAACAAUCUCCUUUUUUGAUAAUAGAAAUUAAAAUAGCAAAAAUGCUGAUUGUGCACAAUUUUGCAUAUUUUCAAAAGAAUGUUGUAAGGGAAAAAUUCAUUAUUAGGGCCCGAGCACCGACAGCGACGAAGGCCCUAUUGAACCUGAUUGCCGAUUUUAUAAGUCAGUGAAGCUUGAAUCAGGCUAGAAAAUAACAUUUGUGACCCUUCUUAGGUGUUUUCAGAUAGCAAGUAUUAGCACGUUAUAUUGCCAAAUGUUUGAGGUUACAUCUUUUAACACAAAAUUUAUUUGACCUGUAUUUUCUAACUUAUCUGCUCGGUUACCCUAAAUCCCGGCAGUUGUAGCACUUUACUUUUCAUAAAGAGAUGUCUUAGAGUUCACCCAAAGCACUCAAACCUUUAACUUGUCACAUCUUUGUGUAGUUCAAUGAAGGAAUCUCUUUACCUCUAGUGGUGUUUAGCCAUGCUAAAGUUCAAUGUUCAAUGGCGCAGCAUUUAAGAUUUUCCAGAAGGUUCCAUAAUUGAUUUGCACUUAAUCAAGCUGUUCUGAUUUAUUUUUGUAAGAAAAUGUUAUUAAAAAAAAAACUUGUUUCUACAGUAUGUGCAUCUUUUCUUUGUCAUAAUAAUUCAAAUCUGUUUUCCUUCUGCGCUUUACUGUAAUUGAUUGUUACAUUCAACCAGUUGAGUACUUCAAACCUCAUAAGCGAAAACAGCUGUAAGGCUUACUUGGCUUCCGCACACAUGUCCACUGUCAAAUAAACCUUAAACUGAAAGUUC